AAAUCAAAGAACCUCUGCAGUCUGGAAUACUUAACGGUGAGAUACAGAGACCCAUUAACCCCAGCGGAGGGAGAAAGAAGAAAUAAAUACUUCUUGGUGCCAAAAAGGAGGUUCUGGAGCUUAAGGCUUGUCAGUGCUCA